rnacentral:rRNA from 1 species
CGGACGGGUGAGUAACGCGUGAGCAACCUGCCCUUCGGAGGGGGAUAGUGUCUGGAAACGGACAGUAAUACCGCAUAACGUAUUGAUACCGCAUGAUAUUGAUAUCAAAACUGAGGUGCCGAAGGAUGGGCUCGCGUUGGAUUAGAUAGUUGGUGGGGUAACGGCCUACCAAGUCGACGAUCCAUAGCCGGACUGAGAGGUUGAACGGCCACAUUGGGACUGAGACACGGCCCAGACUCCUACGGAAGGCAGCAG